UACGGAGGGUGCAAGCAUUAAUCGGAUUUAUUGGGCGUAAAGAGCGCGUAGGCGGCCGUGUAAGUCCGACGUGAAAUCUGGAGGCUCAACCUCCAGCGGUCGUUGGAAACUACCCGGCUAGAGUCCGGAAGAGGAGAGUGGAAUUCCUGGUGUAGCGGUGAAAUGCGCAGAUAUCAGGAAGAACACCGAUGGCGAAAGCAGCUCUCUGGGACGGUACUGACGCUGAGGCGCGAAAGCGUGGGGAGCGAACAGG
rnacentral:rRNA from 1 species